GGAAGGGAAGGAAAGAAAAGGAGGAAAAAGGAGUGGGAAGGGAAGGGAAAAGGAGGGACGGGAAGGGGAAGGUGCCAGCUUGGGAUUUCGAGCCUGGGUAGUGCCUGCUAACGGGGUUGGCCGGAGCAGCAGAGCACCGGGAGGCCCAGGGAUGUGGCGAGGCAGCCGCGGUGUCAGAAAGAGGAAGGCAGGAGGCUGAGGCCGAGGGCCCUGGAAUCUCGCACAUUCCAGGGUUCAGAAAGAUCACGGUGGGGUCCACCUCUGGAGUCCACAAAAGAAAACGUACAAUGUGGCCACAGGCCUGCUUUUCCAAACUCGUCAUGGUUACCAUUUCAUGAACGGCUUCAAGUCCAGAAUGGAGGAGGAGAGGACCUGGGACUGGUGUUGGAUGGCACAGUGGGUAACGACCAAUGGGUAUGAGUAGAAUCCUGUUUCCUUCUGAAGCCCUUCCUAAUUGAUAUACUUAGGGCCAUCUUCCUUAACACCCCAGACCUGCUGGUUUCGGAGCCAUCGACCUCCUCAUUUCCACCGCAGAGGGCUGGAGGAGAUUCAGAAAAUCAGGGCAGGGCCCAGGAGAAGGUUCUUUCAGAGCAUGGCUUCAGCCUGGUUACUUCUGACACCAGCCAGGAGGAACAGACUUCUUCCCCAUACAGCAGGUACCACCAGAAGUACCUGAGCAAGAUCACCCUCAGCUCCUGCAGCCUCAGGGCACCGGAGUGUCCUGUCCACGGGGCAUUUGUUACGGACAAAGAUUUGUGUGGCCUUUCACUUUGCACGCUGAAGCUUAACCCUGGCUGCAACGGGACGGGGGGCCACCAAGGAAGUCAUUAAGGUUAACUAAGGUAUAGGGUGGUGCCCUGGUUGACAGGAUGGUGGCCUUAUGAGGACACUUACAAGAUGGACGCCCACUUGUCCCCCGACCCCUCUGGCACAGGAACUGAGGAAGAGUCACAAGAGGACACAGCAGAUGUUGGUCACCUGCAGGCUAGGAAGAAAGCCCUCCCCAGGAACCUGGGUCUUGGGGACUUCCAGCCUCCACUGUGGGAAAGAAAUGCGUGUUGAUCAGUCCACCCAGUCUAUGGUGUUUUGUAACGGUGGCCAGAGCAGACAAAGACAGUAUGAAAACAUAACUUCUCCCCACACGCUGAAGUUAUAACAGCAAUGCUUUCAACAAAUUGGGCAACGCUUUUGUGGUUCCCACUGGGCGAGUGUUGAAGCUUACAAAACACAAAGGCAUUUUUGAACGUCUGGUCUUUGAGGUAUAAUUUCUAUUCAGCAAAUUCACCACUUCAGGAUGGAUGGUUCUGUGAAUUCUGAUGAAUGUAAAUGGCUGUGACCAGACAUAGAACUUUGGCCGAAUGUGGUGCCUCAUGCCUGUAAUCCCAGCACUUUGGGAGGCUGAGGUGGGCGGAUCACCUGAGGUCAGGAGUUCAAGACCAGCCUGACCAACAUGGUGAAAACCCGUCUCUACUAAAAAUACAAAAAUUAGCUGGGCGGGGAGGCAUGUGCCUGUAAUCUCAGUUAUUCAAGAGGCUGAGGCUGGAGAAUUGCUUGAACCUGGGAGGUGCAGGUUGCAGUGAGCUGAGAUCACACCAUUGCUCUCCAGCCUGGACGACAAGAGUGAAACUCUGUUUCACAAAAAGAAAAGAAAAAGACAAGACAUACAACAUUUUCAUCACCCCAAAACAUUCCCCUGUGCUUCUUAGUAAUCCAUCCUCUUCCUGGAACCCCAAACCUGGGCAACAACUCAUGCGUUCUCUGUGCUUGGAGUUUUGCCUUUCCCAGAAUGCCAUGGAAUCAUACGGUGUGCAGCGGCUCGUGUCUGGCUUCUCCAGCUCGGUGCGAUGCUCCUGAGAUCCGAGUUGUUGUGCGUGUCAGUCGGCUGCUCCUCUUCGCUGCUGUGUAGCACCGCUGUUGUGUGAAUGCACCGCAGUUUGUUCAUCGCUUCCUCUGACGAUGGACAUUUAGGUUGUUACCAGUUUUUAGCAAUUAAAAAGAAAGCCACCAUAAACACUGGGUACUGGUUUUCACGUGGACGUAUGUUUCUGUGCAGUCCUGUUUUGAUUAAAAUGUGAACUCGUCUACUGCCGUGGUAGGCAAUUUUUGGAUGACUUGGGGCCUAAAUGAAGAGAAUGCAGGCGCUUGCUGUGUUCUCCCUUUCUGUAGUCUGGGACUGCCAUGGAAGUCGUGUGGUUUCUUUGGGCAGGAUGGUGGGUAAUGCGGGAAUUCUUUUAUCUAUGCCCUGUUCCAUCUCAUAUGCAUGUCCCCUCCAGUGCCCAAAAGUUUGCAAACACUUAGAGCAGCGAUCAGAUGUUUUGCUCUACUGACCCCAAAUAAAUACAUGCUGUUUGCAAAGAACAGAGGCAAGGAGGCUUUCUCUCCCAUUUCACGACCCCGCUUGGCAGAGAAAAGAAAAGCAUUAGGUUGCUGAAUUCUAAUGCUUUGCU
rnacentral:lncRNA from 10 species